AUUGGCCAUGUGAUGAACAAUGCAUAGUUCAAAUGAUAAUCUUUAUAGAUUGUGAUUACUUUGCAUGUCUUUCGCUCCUAUCUGAUGGCCAAA